AAAGCCCUUAUGCUUUUGGAGCGGCCGAUGUCUGAUUAGCUAGUUGGUAGGGUAAUGGCUUACCAAGGCGACGAUCAGUAGUUGGUCUGAGAGGACGGCCAGCCACACUGGGACUGAGACACGGCCCAGACUCCUACGGGAGGCAGCAGUGGGGAAUUUUGGACAAUGGGCGCAAGCCUGAUCCAGCAAUGCCGCGUGAGUGAAGAAGGCCUUCGGGUUGUAAAGCUCUUUCAGUUGAAAAGAAAAGGUUGUGACUAAUAAUCAUAGCUCAUGACGGUAUCAACAGAAGAAGCACCGGCUAACUACGUGCCAGCAGCCGCGGUAAUACGUAGGGUGCAAGCGUUAAUCGGAAUUACUGGGCGUAAAGGGUGCGCAGGCGGUUCUGUAAGUCAGAUGUGAAAUCCCCGGGCUUAACCUGGGAACU
rnacentral:rRNA from 1 species